GUGGAAUUUAUGGUAUUUUCAAUUGAAUUUUUGAAAUUAAAAAUAUGAUAGGAAAAAAUACUCAGUAUAAGGUACGAAAGAUAAGACAGAGGAGAUGUCCCAGAAAGUAGAGCAAAAUGAAAAAGUAAUGAAAUUAGGGGGAAAAAAAAUGUAAGGAAAUUAAAUGGCUGGGCCAAAAUCCCAGCAACAGAAAUUCUAGAAAGAGAAAAAAGAAAAAAGUAGUAGAUAGAGGUAAAGUGUCAAACUACAUGUCUAUAAGUUCUACAAAAACUUACCAGAACACAGAGACUCAAAAUAGAUUCCCAUUGUGAAACUGCAGAAUGCUGGGGAUAAAGAAAAGAUUUUAUAAGCUUCUAAAGUGUAAGAGAGGAAAAAAACAGUUUUCACACAGAAUCAGGAAUCAGAAUAGUACUGAACUUUUCAGUUGUAAUAACAAAAACCAGACAGCAAAGAAUCAAUGCCUUAAAAAUUCUGAGAAAAUAAUUCCUAAAUUAGAAUUAUAUUAAUUGUGAGAGUAAAAUAUCUCUGUGUCCCUUUUCUUAGGAAGGUAUUGAAGAAUGUGCUCUACCAAAAUGAAAGAAUAAACCAAAAAGGAAGAAGAUGUGGGAUCAAGGAAAAGAAGAUGAAAAAUGCAGAGAUAAAAUAAAAAAGGGAAGAAAGAGCAGGAUAGAGAGGCUUAAAUUGCAAAACAAAAUAUUACUUUGGGAGAUUGGUUCUUAUACAUAUGAAGAAUCAGGCUCAGUUAAUCAAUCCAUCGAGAAGGUUUAUUCUUAUUUACAUUUCAAGUGAUAAUAAAUACUGUAAUUAAGGAGAUGCCAGUCAGACACUGAAAGAAUAAAUUAUGAAUUAAUGUUAUAGGUGUAUUUUAAACUGUUACCAGGUUUCUAAAUGCCUAUUUAAGAGAAAUUUGGACCUACACGCUGAGAUAUGAAUGCAGAAUCACUAACCCAAGGACCAUAAUGGGGUAAGUUGCCAAACCUGACAACUCCUGCCAACUACAGUGUCUCCUUCCAAGUAAAAGGCAUGAAAUGGCUUUCUUUUCCUGCAAUAGUUGCAACAAAUUCCUGUUUGAAUGAAAUCGGUUCCUCUUUUGCCUCCCUACAAUCCAUUCUUCUACACAAAAGCCAGAUUACUUAUUUAAUUUGUAUAUUCAUUUAAAUAUUUCUAUACCAAGAGCUAUAUUAACAAUUAUACGUUAGUUAUAAAGCAAUCCAAGACCAGAACAUUACCAGUAAUUUGCAUUUACCUCCACCAUUGCAUCCACCUGCCUCUUACCUGAGGAAAUACUCUUACUGCUGUAUUUAUCAUCUCCUUGCCUUUUUUCUUUUUCUUUUUCUUUUUUUGGCAGCCCCAUGUCACAUGGAGUUCCCGAGCCAGAGAUCAGAUCUGAGCCACAGUUGCAACCUACGACACAGCUACAGCAAUGAUGGAUCCUUUAACCCACUGCACUGGGCCAGGGGUCAAACCUGCAUCUGUUGCUACAGAACCACUGAUCCCGUUGCACCACAGGAGGAACUCUUCCUUUCCUUUUUUGGCAUAGUUUUAUCACAUUAUGCCUGAACAAAAUAUUACCUAGUUUUGCUUGUUUAUUAACUUUAUCAGUGAUGUACAUAACUAUAGUUUAUUCAUUUUCCCAAGUGUAUAAUGUUGCAAUAUGUGACUAUGCACAAUUUAUCCUGUCAAUGGACAUUUAGAUGAUUUCCCGGUGGAUUUUUGUUUUGUUUUGUUUUUUGCUAUUGUAAACACUGCUAAUCUCAAAAUUCUAAUUCAUAGCUCCUUGUACAAGAGUUUCUCUACCUAGGAAUACAAUUGCUGGAUUGUAUAGU
rnacentral:lncRNA from 1 species